rnacentral:rRNA from 1 species
UACGUAGGGUGCGAGCGUUGUCCGGAAUUAUUGGGCGUAAAGAGCUUGUAGGCGGUUUGUCGCGUCUGCCGUGAAAGCCCAGGGCUUAACCCUGGGUCUGCGGUGGGUACGGGCAGACUAGAGUGUGGUAGGGGAGACUGGAAUUCCUGGUGUAGCGGUGAAAUGCGCAGAUAUCAGGAGGAACACCGAUGGCGAAGGCAGGUCUCUGGGCCACUACUGACGCUGAGAAGCGAAAGCAUGGGGAGCAAACGG